CCUACGGGGGGCAGCAGUGGGGAAUAUUGGACAAUGGGCGAAAGCCUGAUCCAGCCAUGCCGCGUGUGUGAAGAAGGCCUUCGGGUUGUAAAGCACUUUCAGUGGGGAAGAAAGCCUUGGGGCUAAUACCCUCGAGGAAGGACAUCACCCACAGAAGAAGCACCGGCUAACUCCGUGCCAGCAGCCGCAGUAAUACGGAGGGUGCGAGCGUUAAUCGGAAUUACUGGGCGUAAAGCGCGCGUAGGCGGUCUGAUAAGCCGGUUGUGAAAGCCCCGGGCUCAACCUGGGAACGGCAUCCGGAACUGUCAGGCUAGAGUGCAGGAGAGGAAGGUAGAAUUCCCGGUGUAGCGGUGAAAUGCGUAGAGAUCGGGAGGAAUACCAGUGGCGAAGGCGGCCUUCUGGACUGACACUGACGCUGAGGUGCGAAAGCGUGGGUAGCAAACAGGAUUAGAUACCCCGGUAGUC
rnacentral:rRNA from 1 species